rnacentral:siRNA from 1 species
GAGAAAUUUGGAUUGGGCAUAACA